UGCAAGAGAUCAGCGUGAGGCAGCAGAAGACUAAGGAAGACUCCACUUCACAGUCACGGUGCUGCUGCAGCUUAGACCUAACGCUGGGAGAGACCUACGUCUUCUGCCAAAAAUGCAACUGCUGUUGUGGUGGCUCAGCUGUGCAGGAAGAUCAGAGGGUCAUCACUGGGUCACACCACACAAAGAGGAAAGCAGAAGUUGCUUCCUCCCGGCACAACACUGCAGUGCCUGCGCAGCAUCUGGCCCACACGGCUGCGAGGUGGGUUCAGCUCCCAGCACACAGCAUCACCUUCCUGGCCUCCUCGCGAAGCUCUGCGCUAGACUCCAAGCAGGAAAUCCAGAGAGUGCAUUAGUUAAACCAAAAUGAAGUCCAAGCAUGGUGGUCACAGUGCUGUCACACUGCAGGACUUUAAGUGUUAAGUGAUGAACAGCGACAGGGUGACACCGAUAACCGUAAGGACCCACCUAACCCAACCUCCUUUCUGUGACACGACCAGUGCCUGGAAACAUUACCUCUGCUGGUCAUGGACAAACAUGGAAGCUCACUCUCACAAGCUAUUAAGAUUUGUGAUUUUUAUCCCAAAUAGCUUUCAUGAACCCUGUUCAGUUCUUCCAAGGACAAUGGGGAUAGGGGAGAGGCCAAAGGGUUGUCUACUGAGCAGUGCCUGUAGAGAAGUAGGUUGCUUACUUUUGCAAUCCCUGCCUGGCUUCAUCUGUUCUCUUUCCUGUCUUUUUUUUUUGCCCCUCUUUUGAUGUAGGGGCACGGUAUGCUCUGCACAGCCAUUAGCAAAGUGGGCUUUAAUUCCUUUUGAAACCUCUAGAUGCUACUGUCACACAAACCAACCGUGGGGAGGAAGCAGCCUGCUCGCAGCAGAGCAACACCCUCCUCCCCUGCCUGCCUCAGGAGAGCGCAGGGAAGUGCAACCCCAGAGCGUCAGCUCGGGCUAACCCUAGUUUAGAGCAUUUGACAUUUGGAACCUGAACCUGUGAAGUACUGAGAAUGGGCUGUACUUAACAUUUUUGAUGUUAAAACAAAAUGCAAUUCACAGGCUUUUAUUUCAAGCAGCAGAGCCCUCUGCUGUCAUUUCACACUGGCUGCUCGGUGAGUGGCAGUUCUGGCUCCGAACAAAUGUACGCUGCUGCUAUGCAGGCUUGCCUUCACAGCCCUGUUAUGGGCUUUGCUGAAGAGCAAGCAGUUUUAAGUAUAAGCUAUAGAAACAAAAAAACAACAACAAAUUAGAAGAAGAAUUUUUGCAACUGUGAGUUACAAUGUAUCAAGUACUAAUUUCAUAGCAGCCACAUCUCAUCUUCAAAUUUUCAUUACACGUGCCAUUUUCAAACAUCUGAUCAAAAUACCUUUUGCUUGCAUGACUCUAGGGAUGCAGUAAAACUGUUCUUCCAUAAUUAAAAGAUCACUUAAUGCCCUCCAGUUUCAUGGUGACACUGUCAAAACGAGAAGACCCGAUCUCGUUAACCUAGCAGCAAUUGAAGAGAUUGGCAAAGCCAGCUUCAGGUAAUUUGCUUUGGCUUUGAAAGCCUGAUAAGACAAUGUUCAGUAGGAUCUCACUUGGGUCUAUCUUCAGAUGGGAGACACUACAUAAAGUGUGCAAUAUUCCUAAAUAAUUUGUUUUCCUUUUUUAAACUUGAAUAAGACUAUUAACAGAAACUCUCAAGAGUCCUGCUUCUAUGAACACACCUUUUUUUUUUUCCUUGUAAACAGAGAGACUCCUACUCAUUCAGGGCCAGUUAAAACAAACAGUUAGGAAUAACACACUGCAAAAGAGUUCCAUCUAAGUAUUUAUGUCUUCCUGACCUCAGCAGUCAGCCAAAAUUUAGAGCCCUGUUCGCUACUUCUGUGUAAAGGAAAACUCACAAUGGACACAAACAUUUAUUUGAUGUCACAGUAUUAAUUUACAAAAAAUACUAGAAGUCUUAAUUCACUGAAAGCAGGAAGAAUAACUACUAUUUUUUUUUUCCAACUGCUCUAAAUAUCACAUAGGGAGAGACUAGAGCCAGAAAAAGUGGCAGGUAUAUCUGCAUUCAUCCAGAUCUUCAUAGUCAGUCUGAGACAUGGAACUGUCAACGACUGAUGAUGCAUCUGUUCUUAGUUAAAACCUUGGAGAUUAGGAAAACUAGGUUUUAGUAGACUGGAAGUUAUACUGUACCUCCCUGGAAUCAUCUAGGCCAGCUUUGGUUGGAGGAAAGAGCCCAACUUCCUUUACAAAAGGCUUUUGGUGAGAAUAACCUGCAGUGAGGAGACAGCACGGUGGAGGAAUGCAGUUCUAUAAACCACUUUUAACCUUGUUCAGCACACAUUUAUUUAUUGCCUCAAACCAGAUGACUGAUGGGCUACAAGGAGGUGGCCUCUGAAAGAAAAGCUUAGUGGUCUGAUUGAGAUACUCUACAGCACGUGGAAGUCUAAGCUGCUCCAUCUGCGUGCAUUUGUCAUACACUGAAGUAAGGCACAAAGAUCCCAGUCUAAGUCUGGCUGCAACAGUCACGUUACCCUAACACUAUGCCUUAACUCUACAGACCUAACAGCAAGGGACGUGUACACCUAGAGUAGCAUUUGGAGAAUACGUCCAUGGUCUGUCAUUCUCUGGAGCACUCCUGAUGCAAGCUCCCACAAAACCCCAUGGACUUGCUGCUGCUCCUACAAAUGUCAUUUUGAGCCCAGCUCUUCAGAUCAUGCAUUCCCGUUCAGUUAUUUUUACAGCCAGUGAGAGAAGAGAAAUGGAAAUUUUCAGGAGACUUGUAACUCAUACAGACCUGCACAAAAUUUCAGAGAGACGCAUCUAAUUCCCAAGACUGCAUCCUGGGGCUGGAUUUCAAAUGCCUGCUGCCAACAGAAGCUGAGUAAGAGUACUUAGGAAAGCUUGAGUGAUUACUUUAGAGUGGAAAUGUUAAGACAGCCUAAAUAUAGAGGUUGCUACCAUCUCUAUGCACUCAUUACCAUAGCAUCACACUCCUAAUUGUCUUGCCUGUCUCACAGAGGAAGAUCAAAUAUAGUGCACUGCAAAAAGAGAAAAGUAAUGCUGGAAACCACUUGUAGCAAACCACACUUCUGGACCGAGGACCAAUUCCAUUCUAUCAAUUUCAGACAAGUGAACUCCACAACAUACCAGAACAUCAGCAGACAGAACUGAUGCCCCUUGCUUCAUCCUGGUUGUGUUUUCAUGGGCUGUGAAUAUUAAACUCCAUUUCUGACAGAGUAGUCUACUACAGCAGUUCUCAGUUAGGGUGAAUCACCGCUACACUGAAGUAUUGCACAUAGAAAGCAGCAGCCCACAAAAAGGAAGUCUUUGCUUGAGUUCUGGCCUAAGCGAGCAGUCAUACAUUGCGGGGAUGUUUUCUUCUCCUCAAUCUUAUAGGCAAUGAGUUUUUCUAUAUCAUUAAAGAAAGAAACUGAGUCAGGAAAAACAACCACCCUAAAAACUUCUACCAAAAACUGUUUCAAGACUUCAACACCAUUCUCAGAAAUGAUGUUCAAAUACAACUGCCAGCAGCCUGCUUGCACUACAGUUCACUGGAAAACAAAGGGUAGAAAACCCAAUAUGCUUUGCCUUGUAAAAACAACUGUAUUUAACCAGAAAUUUCAGACAGAUUAAACAUAAGACAUCCCUGAUAUGUAUCCAGGAACCAAGACACUUGGCAUCAUCUCUCAUGAAUUACGAGGAAAAAAAAAAUGUGAAAAAUCUGUGAGCAAGAAACUCACCAGCAAGAGCUGGUGUAAGACUUAGGUGUAUGUAUGUUCAUCAUGGAAGAAAAAAAUCCAGCGUAACAGCUUUCAGAAGACAGGAUUGAUUUCAUGGAGGUUUGAUUGUUAGGGCUAAAAUUUAAUUGCUUGAGCUUUCCUAACUUUCCUAUAGCCAGAGGGAGAAAUUCACUAAAAAACAUUUUGAAAUAUAGAAGAAAAGCCCACUGCUUUAUCUGCAACAUGCACAAAAUUCCCCGGGGUUAUGGAUUCUCUAUAACCCAAAGCUGCACUGCCUUAAAUAUUGGCAACACGUCAUUAUACAGAAGUUCUCUCUCCAGAGGCAAUGCUGUUCAGGUUUACCACCAUCCUGUUCAGUAACUGUAGCAGAAACAAAACAGUUAUUGAAUGAAAAGGAAGUCAAUCAGAGGACUGCGGACCUCAGAGGAAAUUCCCUGGAAUACAUCUAGUUUUCUUGAUGUUGUUGGUAGUUCCUCACAACUAGCAUGUAGCUUAUAAUAAUUAAUACCACCAGGUUAGUAUGCAUAACAGUAACAACAUCGGGUUAGUAUGCAUUUGUCCUUUAUUCCAGAGUCAGUAUAGUUUAGCACUGUAGCAACAUCUGGGACUGGAAAAUACCUUUAUCUUAAAAGAAAAGUCCCACAGCAACGUUUUAUGGUUUUAUCAAAGAAGUAGAAGCUUAAUUGUAGAGUUGCAAACUGAACUCUGCACUGAAUUGAAUGUGAGUAAUGUACAACUAGCUCUAAAGAGCUCUUUAAAAAGGAAGUGAGCAUGGCAUACUAUUCAGAUGAAGUGGUCUGAUCAGGAAUGCUGACCUGUUGCAAAAAUCAGAACUUUCAUUUAGGUGCUUAAGUAGAAAAGGAGUUCUGCUGAAAAUGUGACCACUGAUCUCUUCAUGCUUCAAAUGUAACAGAAGGAUGAUGCCUUUUUUUCCCCCUCCAUGCAAGUAUCAGAAGAGAAAGGACGAUUUGCAGCACCAUCUAAUCAGGCAACAGCCAGCAGAGUUGCCUUCCAACAGAAUUAUGAAAGCAACUUUUUGUUCUAGAGGGAUCUUGCAGCUAAGAAACAAGAUUACAUCUAGUGGUUCAAACAGAUUUGUAGAAAAUUGAAAGUGGGAUCCCUUGACCUCCCAGCUGAAAGCAAUAUGUUAACUGAUUCACUGGACGAGCCUCUCCACUCAUCUGGUCUCAUGGCACUGAAUGCCCCCGGAUACACAAAGCCACGCAGACACACUGAGUUAUGCCAGAGCCCUCCUUGGUUACACCCAGAACUGUUCUGCCACAACAGCUGUCCCAGGCCAGCACACAGGCUCCAUGUUUCUGCUGAAACCACCAGCAGUGAUGUGGCCAACAAGAAUUGACAUUUGGGGCCAAUGUUCUGAGCACUGCGUUUUUAAACUCUGACUCCAGCAGCGCAGAUGAUGAAAAAAGUACAGAGUGUUGCACGCAUCCCUACGGGGGGGCUCCUGCGCCAAAAUUGCCCUAUUCCUGUGCAUAUGGAGAGCCAGAGACACGGUUUAAACAGCUUCAAGUUUUGCUUGUCUUCAAAAUUCCCAUGUAAAGACUCAAAGUUUCCCAAAGGACACCUGUUAAGAUACCAUUUAUAACCAUUCACAGCUGGAGUGAUUUUGAUUUUUCUUUGGCUUCUGCAGAAUUGAAUGUUUAAUUAAAGGACCACCCCUACUGACAAGAAGAUAGGGUUUAAAUGCUACCAUCCUCAGCUAAAGUUAAAAAAAAAUCUUUCUCCAGGGUAAGGAAAAAAAAGCUACUAUUACAGACUGAAAAUUAAAUUUAGUAAUCUUUCCAUGAAAGAAAAAACUUCUUCCCUCCUCUUUAAGCAUUUAUUUCUGAGAAAUUUUAAGCCCUACGGAACUAGAAAUUAAAGAAAUUUUAAAGCUCAGCCGGUUUGAAAUACGGGAAUAUGCCUAGUGCUGCUUAUGGGAAGAGGCAUGUGCCCUUCUGAAGUUUUAAACAGGUUUAUUUUCUUUUCCACAAGGGCAAAAACUGGCAGCAAGAAACACCUUGACAGGUUAUGGCUGUAUGCAAUUAAAUAGUGUUCCUUAGAUAAUCAAUCCCUGGCACUUUCAUAAGUCACUAGGGUGGAAUAACAUCGUUUUCCCUAACUGCACACACCUCUUCGAAACUGUACCAGCCUUAAUAUUCCCUGCUGGCUCUCCUGUUCCAACUCAUUACAUUUUAUACUUCCCCACUUCAGCCUUAAACUGAAAUCAAGAACUGCAACCGUCAAUCACUGCUCUGCUCAGAGUCCUUUCUUAACCUGUGGUCUGAACUGGAAGUUUCACAAGCCUGCAUUUACCACAGUCGUGAUGUCCAAUAAAUUGCACGAUGGUUCAGAUCGGUUGCCAAUACAUCCUUCAGCUCUAAGAAGCAACUUCCACAUUGUUUGGUACAUCUGCUUCAUCUCCUCUAAGUGAAAUUGUAAUGAAGUUAGGAAAGAGCAGUUCUAUUUAGAACUGCCAAGAAAGUAGAAAAACAAGGGUACAUUCUUAGAGAUCUCAGGAACAAACAGGUAACCAAAAGGCAUCUGAAUACACAAAUUUACAGCAGUAAGAGAACUGAAAGCUGAACAAACUUUUAAACCUUCCAUGUACAACCCGUGCCUGAGGGUGUGGGGGACUUCUCAUGGGAUGCAUUCAGUGAUACAGGAAUGAUUUGUUUCUUGACAAUCUGAUGCCCCUUGUGCGAGUUACAGAAGAGACAGGAGGAAAAGAAAAAAACACCAUAGAAAUUCUUUCCUUGUGGUAGCAGGCAAAUUAAUAGGGGUAUAACUGUUUCAGAAUUACCUCUUCAUUUCCCUAUUAAUUUGAAAUCUUUUUCAUGCCACAGCGCAACACAAAGCAAUCAUGGUGUUAGAACAAAUACUGAGAUCAGAAUGAAACACAGUUUAGUCAAAGAUAAUAAGUGCCUAAACAGGUUUUCAAGUAGUUAGCUGGUUAAGUCCAGUGGCUUUUUUUUUUUUUUUUAAUCCCAGACACAUAUACAGCCAGUUAAAAUGGCUCAGCUGAUUCACAUAAAUUUGCUGGCAUGCUUCAACCAUCAGAUGAACUUUCAAGGCAGAAGCAUGAGGGUCCUAGAAGGGCACAAUAUCCUGGACUCAAGCCAGCCAACCAACAGAAAUAUAUUACUAAUCUUUGCUUGCAUAAGUAUGAUUGAGGUUCUCAGGACUGUCACAAUACUUAUGGUUUCUCUGCAUGCACCCUGUUUAUGCCUGACAAAAGUUGAAGGGGAAUGGAGAAGUCAUAAGUUAUCUUUUAUUAAUCUUCCACUAAGAAAUAACAUGCUUUGCUUCACAGAAAAGAAUUCUUGCACAAAGAAUUAA